UACAGAGGUUCCAAGCGUUGUUCGGAUUCAUUGGGCGUAAAGGGUGUGUAGGUGGCGCCGUAAGUCGGGUGUGAAAUCUCGGGCUUAACUCCGAAACUGCAUUCGAUACUGCCGUGCUUGAGGACUGGAGAGGAGACUGGAAUUUACGGUGUAGCGGUGAAAUGCGUAGAUAUCGUAAGGAAGACCAGUGGCGAAGGCGGGUCUCUGGACAGUUCCUGACGCUGAGGCACGAAGGCCAGGGGAGCAAACGGG
rnacentral:rRNA from 1 species